rnacentral:lncRNA from 1 species
AUUUACCUAGAGGGUGUGCAUGCUGAGAGGGACUGAAUUAAGGGAACUGGCUCAAGCAUUGAUGGAGACUGAGAAGUCAUAGAAAAGCCAUCUAUAAGCAGGAGACCUAGGGAGGCCAGUAACAUGGUUUAGCAAAAACUCAAAGGCCUCUGAAUCAGGGGAGCUCAUCAGAAACUUUCAGUUGAAGGUCUAAGGCCUAGGAGACCCUAGGAGGCCUCUGAUGCAAGCCCUAGAGUCCAAAGAACAGGAGUUCUGAUGUCAUAGGACAGGAGAAGAAGGGCAGCAGUUUCAGAAGAAGAGAGGAAGAGAAAAUUUGUCUUUCCUCUGACUCUUUGUUCUCUCCUGGUCCCCAGUGGUGCCUACAUACAUCAAGAGUGGAUCUUUACCACUCAGUCCACAAAUUCAAAUGCCAGUCUUAAUCUGGAAAUACCCUUGUAGACUUACCCAGAAAUAAUGCUUUGCUAGCUCUCUAGGUAUCCCUUAAUCUAGUCAAGUCAAUAACUAAAGUUAAUUAUCAUACCCCUCUGUUUAAUUCCCAGGAUCUAGUUUGGUGUGUGACAAACAGCAGGUGUUUUAUUGAUUAUUUUUUAUGAUGGAAUGGAUAAGCAAAUUCCAAAAAUACCAGCCUUAUAAAAUAUGAAUUUACAAAUAAGAACUGAAAACAACUUGCA